UACCAGCACCCCGAGUGGUCGGGACGAUUAUUGGGCCUAAAGCAUCCGUAGCCGGUCCUGCAAGUCUUCCGUUAAAUCCAGCUGCUCAACAGAUGGGCUGCGGGGGAUACUACAGGGCUAGGAGGCGGGAGAGGCAAGCGGUACUUUAUGGGUAGGGGUAAAAUCCGUUGAUCCAUAGAAGACCACCAGUGGCGAAGGCGGCUUGCCAGAACGCGUUCGACGGUGAGGGAUGAAAGCUGGGGGAGCAAACCGG
rnacentral:rRNA from 1 species